UUUUUUUUUCCACAGCAACUGCAGUUUAAAAGUUACAGCACCUCAAUCACAAACGCACCCUAAACAUUCAUUUCUUUAUCUUUGUCGGUCCUCUUCAUCUCUCUUUCAUUGUCUUUUCCUCUUUCCCUACUCCAACUUUUUUUUAAAAAAAAAAGCUUUUUAUUAAAUUAGCUCUAGAAUUUUCUAAAACACAUAAAUUAAGUUCUUUCAAAUUUGAAUUUUGAUUCAUUCAAGUUCUUGAUUAAAUUUUGACCAUUUUUAAGUUGAUGAAAAAUGAAAACAUUAACAUGAACAUAAGAAGACAAUUGCGCCUAUGUAUUUCGCAUCAAUGGUUUAAAGUCCACUUUAUCAUUGUUAUUAUUUCUUUUUAUUUAGUAUGCUAAAAAUUGGAAACAAAACUUGGAGCUUUUCACAUUAUUCAUCACAUUUGAUCUCCCCCACAAUACUUAAUCAUUUCAACACUUUCAAUAGUCCCUUCAUUUCUUUUUCUUUUUUUUUGGCACUCUUACCAUAACAUUUUUUUACAUUAUUAUAUAAUCUUUGCAUUUUCUAGCUCUUUUAAAUACUGUUAAAAAAUUAAAAUUUUCAAAAAUUAAAUUUCAAUGAUCGGGUUAUAAUUGCAUGGGACCAAGAUCUGGUGCGGAGCUGAGUUUGUGCUUAUUAUUGGAUCAACAGUCUGAAGUUAUCCAACAUGGGUCCCACACGGGACUCAGGACUAUCAUGAUUGUUAAUAAGAUGAUCAGCACAAACCUAUCUCAACAGCAAAUCCAUUUACAAUAAAUAAUAAAAUUUUACGAGAAUGUUAAGUUAAUAAUGGAUUUUACAUAUCAAAAUUUUUCUUUUCCAUAUUUGAUAAAAACAAGUAACUUCACAGUUCAAAAAUAAAUUAAUUAUAAUAUUACUAUUUGAAAGAGGAAAUUAACCUUACUUGUUAGAAAUUUUUAGGAUGAUUUUAAAAGUUUGUGGCAUUAUAUUACAAAUUCUAGAAACUUUUAAAGAAAAUAUAUAGGAGUUAAAUUUCACUCCUAUUCGUUCAUGAACACAUAUGUUCAAUUUAUACAAGUGUUUAAAAUAAAGAUGACAAAGGACCAGUUUGGGAAUGCUAUAACUUUUAAAAUAAUUGUUGUUAGCUGUGC
rnacentral:lncRNA from 1 species